GUUGGAAUCUGUUUAAUUUUCUUGAAACUUUAAGGUGGCAUUUUGUGGUAUGUUUCAAAGCCUUGUAAGUUUUCAACUACUGUAUCUUGUUCUCCUAACAUAUUAUCGUACUGCGAGAUUUCUGGACUGACAAUCUAUGAGCUGCAAUUUCCAUCAUCUACUGUAUCUUGUUCUCGGAAGAGACAUACGUGAUUCAGGUUCCUUAAUAUCAACAUAAAAAUCUAACUUCUACAGAGUUUUCUUUGGCUAAAAGUCGAAGCAUGAGACUACUACUAAUAGGUAUAUUUCGGUGAUACAAUACUCUGGAUGCUGGGCCAAACCAUCUAAGCUGCGGGGAGCUGUUAGAAAGUUCCUGGAGGUAUGUUUUCUGAUAGGAGGUUUUCAUAUUUCUGUACUCUGUCCACAAUUUCAAAUUGUUAACUGUGCUUUCAUCUGUUGUUGGACUCGAAUGUGAACACUAAGAAGGGGGAAUCGAUUUUUGAGAUUAUGUGUUGGAUGUUUGAUGGCAGUUUGGAUACAUCACUAUCUAUAACUGAUUCAAAAACAUGGUUCUCCCUUGAACAUCCAACAGUAUGCACUCGUAGGAAAAUACACGUUCAUCAGAAAAAAGAUUUUAGUACUUGUUUUUCUUUCUUGCUUACCGUUGCUAUCUGAUGAUUUCGUUUUUUGAUGUGGAAAGCGGAGAUCCUCAAAGCUACCUUAUCUAGUUUGGCCAAAUCAAAGAUUGUGAAAGCUCUAGCUGUUGUUUAUCAGAUCCUGCUGGAUUUGCAAUACUAUUUGAAGCUUGCUUCCCAGUUCUCAAGCAGGAAUGGAGUAUAUACGAGUUAACGAGUUAUAACCUUCCAGAGGAGGAGUUUACUGUGGAGAAGCUUGUUGUUGCAGCGAUAUUUUGGUCCGGCUUAAUUGGUUUGCAUUUUUUGGAAGUAACUGCGGUCAUUUGUUUCGGCGGUCCAGCUGAAUAACACGGUCAGUUGCUGCUUCAUAUUUGAUCAAUGAUGUUCUUUUACAGAGUGCACGCUCAAGAUGACAGUGGAGAGUUGAUAUCUACUCUUCACGAGUUGUUUCUCUUCUUUGCAACAUCUCGACUGUCACACACAUUUUGCGGAGACAGUUCUAAUCACUUACGGAAAAAUCCAACAUCUCUGCAGUCAGCUUUUUGUCAAAUUUACUGAAGAAGGUUCUCAUUUUUUAUCAUGUCUGACGAUCGACGGAGUUACUUUUUUCUUCUUUGCAUUGAUUCGACGGCAUUAGUUGCUGAAGUUUUAGUUCUUAUGACUUUCUACCUAUGUUUAUAUUAUAUUUCCUAAACAGGUGCCGCUGCAAUAGAAGUUUGGGCUGGCUUCCUGCAUCAGGAUCAACUGUGCAACAAAUUCAGAAAAUUGGUAUGUUAAAUCAGUCAUAAAUCAGCUCCGCGACUCUGAGAUUAUCUUCAAGUUAUAUGUGGUAUUAGUUCAUCUCAUUUACUUUUACAAGUUCAAGAAAGUAUUUAAAUGUAUGUCGAUCUUUGAUCUUUUGCAGAGAGUAUAAGUUGUAUGUAAUCCAUGUUGGAAAAUAGAAUACUGUAAGAAUUUGUUGUUGGAUUCAAUGG